GAUGAAGAACGCAAGCGAAAUGCGAUAAGUAAUGUGAAUUGCAGAAUUCAGUGAAUCAUCGAAUCUUUGAACGCAUCUUGCGCUCCUUGGUAUUCCGAGGAGCAUGCCUGUUUGAGUGUCAUUUUAACUUCUCAACCAUAUCGAAUUGUUUUUCGAGGUGGCUUGGACAUGGGGGUUUUUGCAGGCUUUAAUAAUGAAGUCGGCUCCUCUGAAAUGCAUUAGUGGUAUCUGAAGCAGAACUGCUACUAUUAGGUGUGAUAAUUAUCUAUGCCUCUUGGUAUACUGCAUGAACAGAUUGCACUGCUUCCAACUUGUACACCCUUUGGUGUUUGACAAAUUUGACCUCAAAUCAGGUAGGACUACCCGCUGAACUUAAGCAUAUCAAUAAGCGGAGGA
rnacentral:misc_RNA from 1 species